rnacentral:lncRNA from 10 species
AGGCAGGUGGAGAGGGGAUGGGGGAGGUCUCAGGUCCUCUUGCUCACCCAUCAGCUGUGUAGUGUCUGAAGUGAUUAAGGAGCUUGGGGAGGCCUCCCAGGCUGGUCUGCUCCACUGGCCCUCAGAAAGACUUGUCGCCUCGCCGAGCCUCAGUGUUCUCAUCUGAAGAAUAGAGUGGGCAAGGCCUUUCUCCUACACACUCAGAGCCCUGAAUGGGAAGAAAUGGGUUCCAUGUGCAGCAAGCCAGGAGAGAUUUAGGCAACGAGAACCUCCAGUUCUGUCUUAGGGUUCCCAGCUUUCUCCUUGUCCUGAGGGAGCCGCUGAGCCUGUGGGAGAUGAGGGGUGCCCAUUCCCCAGUGCUUCUCACCCUCCCCCACCUGCCCUCCUGGGGUACCUUUGUCUGCCACUUGCAUCCUAUUGGAAGCUGUCCCCAAGUGCGUGUUAGGCAGGUGGCAGGUGCUGGAGCAGAGUGCACCACCCUCCGGCGAUCACUGUGAGUUGGGGUAAGAGUGGGGUGUUCCUGCCAGCCCCAGGAGAGGGGAAAGCAAGCCCCCGUCCACCCUUGUGGGUCUCUGCUCCUGGAAAAGGUGCUCUAGCAGGCUCAUCUGUGUGAGUCACUGUCUUCCAUGUGGGGGGCUGUGCUGAAGAAGCCUUGGUGAUAUGGGUGCAAAUGCCAAAAACAUGG